AACUUUGUGCAGUGGCAAUAUCGUAUCCAAUGAGGUUCAUCAGAGGCACGAUUAUUGCUAAUUGAAAACUUUUCCUAAUACCCGCCAUGACGACUUGAAAUAUAGUCAGUGUUGGCAAUUUUUGGCAGUUUCUAUGGGGA
ensembl:snRNA U4 U4 spliceosomal RNA